rnacentral:tRNA from 1 species
CCUUCGAUAGCUCAGUUGGUAGAGCGGUGGACUGUAGAAAAUAUUCGAAAAAUGUAUAGAAAUCCAUAGGUCGCUGGUUCAAAUCCGGCUCGAAGGA